rnacentral:snRNA from 1 species
AUUGCUUUUUGCCUCCUGGAAGUGAAGAUCAAAGUAGUGUGUGAGUGUUCUGAUCAGUGUAAUCUGUGAUAUGUCUUUGAUGUGAGGACUGUAUAUUAGCUUGAUUUUUGAAAUGAAGGGGUUAGUUAGAACAGGAGCUUGUUUUAUCUACCCCAUGCAUUGAUCUGGUAUUGCAAUGCUUCCAGGAAGAGUGUAUCUCCC